CUUACGGGAGGCAGCAGUGAGGAAUAUUGGUCAAUGGACGCAAGUCUGAACCAGCCAUGCCGCGUGCAGGAAGACGGCUCUAUGAGUGGUAAACUGCUUUUGCAGGAGGGAAAAAGCAGAUACGUGUACCUGUCUGAAAGGAUCGUACGCAUAAGGAAUGGGUAAAUCCGUGCCCGCAGCCGCGGUAAGUCGGAGGAUUCAAGCGGUAUCCGGAUUUAUUGGGUUUAAAGGGUGCGUAGGCGGUCGUGUAAGUUAGAGGUGAAAGUCCGGGGCUUAACUUCGGGUUUGCCUCUGAUACUGGUCGGCUAGAGGGUAGAUGCGGUAGGCGGAAUGUAUGGUGUAGCGGUGAAAUGCUUAGAGAUCAUACAGAACACCGAUUGCGAAGGCAGCUUACCAAGCUGCUUCUGACGUUGAGGCACGAAAGCGUGGGGAGCGAACAGGAUUAGAUACCCCUGUAGUC
rnacentral:rRNA from 1 species